GAUGAAGAACGUAGCGAAAUGCGAUAAGUAAUGUGAAUUGCAGAAUUCAGUGAAUCAUCGAAUCUUUGAACGCACAUUGCGCCCGCCAGUAUUCUGGCGGGCAUGCCUGUUCGAGCGUCAUUUCAACCAUCAAGCCCCCGGGCUUGUGUUGGGGACCUGCGGCUGCCCGCAGGCCCUGAAAACCAGUGGCGGGCUCGCUGUCACACCGAGCGUAGUAGCAUAUCAUCUCGCUCUGGGCGUGCUGCGGGUUCCGGCCGUUAAAGCCUUUUUUUUUUUACCCAAGGUUGACCUCGGAUCAGGUAGGAAGACCCGCUGAACUUAAGCAUAUCAAUAAGCGGAGGA
rnacentral:misc_RNA from 1 species